GGAGCGAUGGUUGCUCUGAUGCGAUGUGGUGAUAGAGCUUGACGGAGGAUGUUAUCGGCGAUCCGGAAGUAGAAACAGAGAGCGAUUCGGUUAUCGACAUCGAGUUUCUGAGCACUUGCAGCGAUGUUGAUCGUGCCCGAAGAAGAAGAAGAAGUCAUCGUUGUUGUUUCUUCUUCUUCUUCUGAUUGUUCACAGCAACAUCGACAGCAUCAGAAUUGAGAGAUGAGGAUGGUGAUGUUGGUGAGCGA
rnacentral:lncRNA from 1 species